rnacentral:snRNA from 1 species
GUGCUGGCUGCGGCAGCACGUGUACUGACACUGGAACAAUGCAGAGAAGACUAGCAUGGCCCCUGUGUAAGGAUGACACGCAAAUUGGUGAAGCAUUCUGUAUUUUU